GAUGAACGCUGGCGGCGUGCCUAAUACAUGCAAGUCGAGCGAACAGACGAGGAGCUUGCUCCUCUGACGUGAGCGGCGGGCGGGUGAGGAACACGUGGAUAACCUACCUAUAAGACUGGGAUAACUUCGGGAAAGCGGAUCUAAUACCGGAUAAGAUAGUGAACCGCAUGGUUCAAUAGUGAAAGACGGUUUUGCUGUCACUAAUAGAGGGAUCCACGCCGGAUUAGCUAGUUGGUAGGGUAACGGCUUACCAAGGCAACGAUGCGUAGCCGACCUGAGAGGGUGAUCGGCCACACUGGAACUGAGACACGGUCCAGACUCCUGCGGGAGGCAGCAGUAGGGAAUCUUCCGCAAUGGGCGAAAGCCUGACGCAGCAACGCCGCGUGUGUGAUGAAGGUCUUCGGAUCGUAAAGCUCUGUUAUUAGGGAAGAACAACUGUGUAAUUAACUCUGCACGUCUUGACGGUACCUACUCAGAAAGCACCGGCUAACUACGUG
rnacentral:rRNA from 1 species